rnacentral:rRNA from 1 species
AGAGUUUGAUCAUGGCUCAGAUUGGACGCUGGCGGCAUGCUUAAUACAUCCAAGUCGAACGGUAACAGAUUCUUCGGAAUGCUGACGAGUGGCGGACGGGUGAGUAAUACAUAGGAAUCUGCCCAUGUAGUGGGGGACAACUUGGGGAAACUCAAGCUAAUACCGCAUAAUUCCUCCGGGAUAAAGAGGGCCACUGCUUGCAAGCUCUUGCUACUGGAUGAGCCUAUGUCGGAUUAGUUAGUUGGUAAGGUAAUGGCUUCCCAAGACAGCGAUCCGUAGCUGGUUUGAGAGGAUGAUCAGCCACACUGGGACUGAGACACGGCCCAGACUCCUACGGGAGGCAGUAGUAGGGAGUAUUGGACAAUGGGCGCAAGCCUGAUCCAGCAAUGCCGCGUGUGUGAAGAAGGCCUGCGGGUUGUAAAGCACUUUCAAUUGGGAAGAAAGAUUAUGAGUUAAUACCUUAUAAUAUUGAC